UGCCGCUUGCGAGGGCGUAUGGUGGAUGCCUUGGCAGACAGUACCGAUGAAGGACGUUUGAGGAUGCGAUAAUCCUAGGGGAGCCUCCAACAUGGCUUUGAUCCUAGGGUCUCCGAAUGGGGGAACCCGCCGGCCGUCAUGGGCCGGCACCGCCUAUGGGCGGGGGGUACGCAGGGAAGUGAAACAUCUCAGUACCUGCAGGAAGGGAUACUCCGUGAGUAGUGGCGAGCGAAAGCGGAUCAGACCAAACCGGUUGCGCGUGAUACCCGUCGGGGGUUGCGUUGCCGGUGUCGUGGGAUCACGUGUCCCGGUUCCGACGGGCCGGGCGGGAGUCAUAAAACGGCUUGCCAGGGGAACAGGCUUGAAGGCCUGGCCGUAGAGGGUGCCAGCCCCGUACCUGGACGUGAGCCGUCUUCCGAUCGUGUUGUCCCAAGUAGCGCGGGCCUCGUGGAAUCCCGCGUGAAUCAGCCCAGACCGUUGGGUAAGUCUAAGCAUACCUGUCUGACCGAUAGCGUACCAGUACCGUGAGGGAAAGGUGAAAAGCACCCCGGGAGGGGAGUGAAACAGUUCCUGAAACCGUGCGCCCACAAACCGUCGGAGCCUCUGUGUGGGGUGACGGCGUGCCUAUCGAAAAAUGAGUCUGCGAGUCAGUGGCGGGUGGCGAGCAUAAGCCGUGUGGCGUAUGCGUAGCGAAAGCGAGUCUUAAAAGGCGUUUUUAGUCGCUUGUCCUGGACCCGAAGCGGGAUGAUCUAGCCCUGGGCAGGUUGAAGCGCGGGUAAGACCGCGUGGAGGACCGAACCCACCUGGGUUGAAAACCGGGGGGAUGACCUGGGGCUAGGGGUGAAAGGCCAAUCAAAUUCCGUGAUAGCUGGUUCUCUCCGAAAUGCAUUUAGGUGCAGCGUCGGUCGAUUGCGUCGCGGGGGUAGAGCUACCGGAUGCUUGCGGGCCCUUGUUGGGUACCAACAGCAGCCGAACUCCGAAUACCGUUGACGUGUAUUCCGGCAGUGAGUCGGCGGGGGAUAAGCUCCGUCGUCGAGAGGGAGACAGCCCAGACCGUCGUCUAAGGUCCCGAAGCGUGUGCUAAGUGGGAAAGGAUGUGGAGUCGCAUAGACAGCCAGGAGGUUGGCUCAGAAGCAGCCAUCCUUGAAAGAGUGCGUAACAGCUCACUGGUCUAGUGGUUCCGCGCCGACAAUGUAGCGGGGCUCAAGCACACCACCGAAGACGCGGCAGCAAUCUUCAUGGUUGCUGGGUAGGAGAGCGUCCUGCGAGGGGCGAAGCGGCGGUGGAAACCGGCCGUGGACUUCGUGGGAGUGAGAAUGCAGACAUGAGUAGCGAGAGACGGGUGAGGAUCCCGUCCGCUGGAUGACCAAGGGUUCCGGGGCCACGUUCGUCGUCCCCGGGUGAGUCGGGUCCUAAGGCGAGGCCGACAGGCGUAGUCGAAUGGAUGAACGGGUGGAUAUUCCCGUACCGACCAUGGACCGGCAAAACCGAGACGGUGAGUACUAACCUCCGCCUCGUGGUGGUUCCUUCCUUCGGGUUGGUUCCGCCGCGUGGUGUUGGGACUGUAGCCGCAGUAGGUCAGCGCAGGGGUGACACGGAAUGGGAGCCGGCCGCGGAGGUGGUUUUCCGUGGUCAAGCACGCAGCCAGUCAUGUAGGCAAAUCCGCAUGGCGCGCAUGGCGAGGUGUGAUGAUGGGAGCCGUUAUGGCUCGAUAUCCGGUUGUCCAGGCCGUCGAGAAAAGCCUCGGCGUGAGGGCCAUGGCCGCCCGUACCCCAAACCGACACUGGUGGUCAGGUAGAGAAUACCAAGGCGAUCGAGCGAAUCCUGGUCAAGGAACUCGGCAAAUCACUCCCGUGCCUUCGGUAUAAGGGAGACCCGCUGGGGUGAACCGGCUAGCCCGGGGAGCUUUGGUGGGUGGCACAGACCAGGGGGUAGCGACUGUUUACCAAAAACACAGGUGCAUGCGAAGGCGAAAGCCGCUGUAUAUGCACUGACGCCUGCCCGGUGCCGGAAGGUUAAGAGGAUCCGUCAACUCUUCGGAGCGAAGCGGUGAAUUCAAGCCCCGGUAAACGGCGGUGGUAACUAUAACCAUCCUAAGGUAGCGAAAUUCCUUGUCGGGUAAGUUCCGACCUGCACGAAUGGCGUA
rnacentral:rRNA from 1 species